GAUGAACGCUGGCGGCGUGCCUAAUACAUGCAAGUCGAGCGAACAGACGAGGAGCUUGCUCCUCUGACGUUAGCGGCGGACGGGUGAGUAACACGUGGAUAACCUACCUAUAAGACUGGGAUAACUUCGGGAAACCGGAGCUAAUACCGGAUAAUAUAUUGAACCGCAUGGUUCAAUAGUGAAAGACGGUUUUGCUGUCACUUAUAGAUGGAUCCGCGCCGCAUUAUCUAGUUGGUAAGGUAACGGCUUACCAAGGCGACGAUGCGUAGCCGACCUGAGAGGGUGAUCGGCCACACUGGAGCUGAGACACGGUCCAGACUCCUACGGGAGGCAGCAGUAGGGAAUCUUCCGCAAAGGGCGAAAGCCUGACGGAGCAACGCCGCGUGAGUGAUGAAGGUCUUCGGAUCGUAAAACUCUGUUAUUAGGGAAGAACAAAUGUGUAAGUAACUAUGCACGUCUUGACGGUACCUAAUCAGAAAGCCACGGCUAACUACGUG
rnacentral:rRNA from 1 species